rnacentral:rRNA from 1 species
GACGAACGCUGGCGGCGUGCUUAACACAUGCAAGUCGAACGGAAAGGCCCUGCUUUUGUGGGGUGCUCGAGUGGCGAACGGGUGAGUAACACGUGAGUAACCUGCCCUUGACUUUGGGAUAACUUCAGGAAACUGGGGCUAAUACCGGAUAGGAGCUCCUGCUGCAUGGUGGGGGUUGGAAAGUUUCUGCGGUUGGGGAUGGACUCGCGGCUUAUCAGCUUGUUGGUGGGGUAGUGGCUUACCAAGGCUUUGACGGGUAGCCGGCCUGAGAGGGUGACCGGCCACAUUGGGACUGAGAUACGGCCCAGACUCCUACGGUAGGCAGCAGUGGGGAAUAUUGCACAAUGGGCGGGAGCCUGAUGCAGCAACGCCGCGUGCGGGAUGACGGCCUUCGGGUUGUAAACCGCUUUCGCCUGUGACGAAGCGUGAGUGACGGUAAUGGGUAAAGAAGCACCGGCUAACUACGUG